CCUUUGACGUUAGCGGCGGACGGGUGAGUAACACGUGGGUAACCUACCUAUAAGACUGGGAUAACUUCGGGAAACCGGAGCUAAUACCGGAUAAUAUUUCGAACCGCAUGGUUCGAUAGCGAAAGGUGGUUUUGCUAUCACUUAUAGAUGGACCCGCGCCGUAUUAGCUAGUUGGUAAGGUAACGGCUUACCAAGGCGACGAUACGUAGCCGACCUGAGAGGGUGAUCGGCCACACUGGAACUGAGACACGGUCCAGACUCCUACGGGAGGCAGCAGCC
rnacentral:rRNA from 1 species